UACGUAGGGUGCAAGCGUUGUCCGGAAUCAUUGGGCGUAAAGGGCGCGUAGGUGGCGGGACAAGCGUGCGGUGAAAGCUCGGGGCUCAACCCCGAGUCGGCCGUGCGAACUGUUUUGCUUGAGCACUGUAGAGGCAGGCGGAAUUCCGGGUGUAGCGGUGGAAUGCGUAGAGAUCCGGAAGAACACCGGUGGCGAAGGCGGCCUGCUGGGCAGUAGCUGACACUGAGGCGCGACAGCGUGGGGAGCAAACAGG
rnacentral:rRNA from 1 species